rnacentral:rRNA from 1 species
AUUGAACGCUGGCGGCAUGCCUUACACAUGCAAGUGGAACGGCAGCACGGGAGCAAUCCUGGUGGCGAGUGGCGAACGGGUGAGUAAAGUAUCGGAACGUGCCCAGUCGUGGGGGAUAACGUAGCGAAAGUUACGCUAAUACCGCAUACGAUCUAUGGAUGAAAGCGGGGGAUCGCAAGACCUCGCGCGAUUGGAGCGGCCGAUAUCAGAUUAGGUAGUUGGUGGGGUAAAGGCUCACCAAGCCGACGAUCUGUAGCUGGUCUGAGAGGACGACCAGCCACACUGGGACUGAGACACGGCCCAGACUCCUACGGGAGGCAGCAGUGGGGAAUUUUGGAAAAAGGGCGAAAGCCUGAUCCAGCCAUGCCGCGUGCAGGAUGAAGGCCUUCGGGUUGUAAACUGCUUUUGUACGGAACGAAAAGGUUUGGCCUAAUAAGCUGAGCUCAUGACGGUACCGUAAGAAUAAGCACCGGCUAACUACGUGCCAGCCGCCGCCGUAA